rnacentral:rRNA from 1 species
UGUUGAUGAACCUUGUGGGGGAUUGACGGACGGCUCAGUGAUAGUACGAUGAUUUGGUUGGCGGGAGAGCUGUAACUGCGGGAAACUGCAGGUAGGGGGCUAGGAGUGUUUUUGACACGAGCCAAGUAAGUUGUAGGCCUAUCAGCUGGUAGUUAGGGUAAUGGCCUAACUAGGCGGAGACGGGAGACGGGGGAUCAGGGUUUGGUUCCGGAGAGG